AGCUGCCAUGUGGAAGGCUUUGAACUUAAAAUGGGAACAGCCGAAACCCAGCACUGAGGGGACCCUCAUAAUCCUCUCCCCAUUUCUUUCUUCCCCAUCAGGACCACCAGGAAGCUGGCAGGCGCCGUACUGGGAAUAGCAGUGCUGGCAGUGAGAAAAAGUGGGGUUUGCAGCACAAGAUGAAAACUUUUGAAGACAGAGGCAUGGGUGUUUAAUUGGGAGCCAGUGCUUGAUUAGAUUUUAGGAUGGAAUUGAAUCUCUUUGUUUGCCCACAGGAGGGGGAUGAUGAAGAGACACCUGUCCCAGAGCCAUAAAAGUGUGUGGAAAGGCUCCAGAGAGAAAUACUCCAUCACUGUGGAAAACCAGCAUGACUUCAGUGGUGGAAGAUGAGCAGUGUGCAAGUGCAUCAACACAAGGCAUGAAGAGAGCAGCAAAAGGUUUCAUGCAUGGAUCUGUCUGACAAUUUGAUAAAUCACUCAACCUUCAUAGUUUCCUUUGGUGAAAAAAGUUUCCGGUUUGAUGACGGCAAUGCCCAGACUGGACGCCUGGCCAGGAAGGCAGGUCACAGCAGUGGAAACCCAGCUACAGUUACACGAGGAACUGCCUUCAGUGGCACCUGGGCUUACAAAGACCCUAUGAGGAAAUGAUGGCUCCGCGUGCUGAACCUGUUUGGAAAUAACCGUAUGGAAAAUAAACAACUUUGGUCGUGCCA
rnacentral:lncRNA from 1 species